rnacentral:rRNA from 1 species
AGAGUUUGAUCCUGGCUCAGAUUGAACGCUGGCGGCAGGCUUAACACAUGCAAGUCGAACGAUGAUUAUCUAGCUUGCUAGAUAUGAUUAGUGGCGGACGGGUGAGUAACAUUUAGGAAUCUGCCUAGUAGUGGGGGAUAGCUCGGGGAAACUCGAAUUAAUACCGCAUACGACCUACGGGUGAAAGGGGGCGCAAGCUCUUGCUAUUAGAUGAGCCUAAAUCAGAUUAGCUAGUUGGUGGGGUAAAGGCCCACCAAGGCGACGAUCUGUAACUGGUCUGAGAGGAUGAUCAGUCACACCGGAACUGAGACACGGUCCGGACUCCUACGGGAGGCAGCAGUGGGGAAUAUUGGACAAUGGGGGCAACCCUGAUCCAGCCAUGCCGCGUGUGUGAAGAAGGCCUUUUGGUUGUAAAGCACUUUAAGCAGGGAGGAGAGGCUAAUGGUUAAUACCCAUUAGAUUAGACGUUACCUGCAGAAUAAGCACCGGCUAACUCUGUGCCAGCAGCCGCGGUAAUACAGAGGGUGCGAGCGUUAAUCGGAAUUACUGGGCGUAAAGCGAGUGUAGGUGGCUCAUUAAGUCACAUGUGAAAUCCCCGGGCUUAACCUGGGAACUGCAUGUGAUACUGGUGGUGCUAGAAUAUGUGAGAGGGAAGUAGAAUUCCAGGUGUAGCGGUGAAAUGCGUAGAGAUCUGGAGGAAUACCGAUGGCGAAGGCAGCUUCCUGGCAUAAUAUUGACACUGAGAUUCGAAAGCGUGGGUAGCAAACAGGAUUAGAUACCCUGGUAGUCCACGCCGUAAACGAUGUCUACUAGCCGUUGGGGUCCUUGAGACUUUAGUGGCGCAGUUAACGCGAUAAGUAGACCGCCUGGGGAGUACGGCCGCAAGGUUAAAACUCAAAGGAAUUGACGG